rnacentral:rRNA from 1 species
AAUCCAUAGGUUAAUGAGGCGAACCGGGGGAACUGAAACAUCUAAGUACCCCGAGGAAAAGAAAUCAACCGAGAUUCCCCCAGUAGCGGCGAGCGAACGGGGAGGAGCCCAGAGCCUGAAUCAGCAUGUGUGUUAGUGGAAGCGUCUGGAAAGGCGCGCGAUACAGGGUGACAGCCCCGUACACAAAAGCGCAUGUGCUGUGAGCUCGAUGAGUAGGGCGGGACACGUGGUAUCCUGUCUGAAUAUGGGGGGACCAUCCUCCAAGGCUAAAUACUCCUGACUGACCGAUAGUGAACCAGUACCGUGAGGGAAAGGCGAAAAGAACCCCGGCGAGGGGAGUGAAAAAGAACCUGAAACCGUGUACGUACAAGCAGUGGGAGCACAGGUUUACCUGUGUGACUGCGUACCUUUUGUAUAAUGGGUCAGCGACUUAUAUUCUGUAGCAAGGUUAACCGAAUAGGGGAGCCGGAGGGAAACCGAGUCUUAAUUGGGCGUUAAGUUGCAGGGUAUAGACCCGAAACCCGGUGAUCUAGCCAUGGGCAGGUUGAAGGUUGGGUAACACUAACUGGAGGACCGAACCGACUAAUGUUGAAAAAUUAGCGGAUGACCUGUGGCUGGGGGUGAAAGGCCAAUCAAACCGGGAGAUAGCUGGUUCUCCCCGAAAGCUAUUUAGGUAGCGCCUCGUGAAUUCAUCUCCGGGGGUAGAGCACUGUUUCGGCUAGGGGGCCAUCCCGGCUUACCAACCCGAUGCAAACUGCGAAUACCGGAGAAUGUUAUCACGGGAGACACACGGCGGGUGCUAACGUCCGUCGUGAAGAGGGAAACAACCCAGACCGCCAGCUAAGGUCCCAAAGUCAUGGUUAAGUGGGAAACGAUGUGGGAAGGCCCAGACAGCCAGGAUGUUGGCUUAGAAGCAGCCAUCAUUUAAAGAAAGCGUAAUAGCUCACUGGUCGAGUCGGCCUGCGCGGAAGAUGUAACGGGGCUAAACCAUGCACCGAAGCUGCGGCAGCGAACGUAUCACUUAAAGCGAUUCAGCGGGUUACGAUUGACGGAGCGAAGCGACGUCAAAGCGUAUACAAAGUCGAGUCGGUUUAAGGAUACGUUCGUUGGGUAGGGGAGCGUUCUGUAAGCCUGUGAAGGUGUGUCGUGAGGCAUGCUGGAGGUAUCAGAAGUGCGAAUGCUGACAUAAGUAACGAUAAAGCGGGUGAAAAGCCCGCUCGCCGGAAGACCAAGGGUUCCUGUCCAACGUUAAUCGGGGCAGGGUGAGUCGACCCCUAAGGCGAGGCCGAAAGGCGUAGUCGAUGGGAAACGGGUUAAUAUUCCCGUACUUGGUGUUACUGCGAAGGGGGGACGGAGAAGGCUAUGUUGGCCGGGCGACGGUUGUCCCGGUUUAAGCGUGUAGGUGUGUGUUCCAGGUAAAUCCGGUUCACUUUAACACUGAGGCGUGAUGACGAGGCACUACGGUGCUGAAGCAACAAAUGCCCUGCUUCCAGGAAAAGCCUCUAAGCAUCAGGUAACAUCAAAUCGUACCCCAAACCGACACAGGUGGUCAGGUAGAGAAUACCAAGGCGCUUGAGAGAACUCGGGUGAAGGAACUAGGCAAAAUGGUGCCGUAACUUCGGGAGAAGGCACGCUGACAUGUAGGUGAAGUGAUUUACUCAUGGAGCUGAAGUCAGUCGAAGAUACCAGCUGGCUGCAACUGUUUAUUAAAAACACAGCACUGUGCAAACACGAAAGUGGACGUAUACGGUGUGACGCCUGCCCGGUGCCGGAAGGUUAAUUGAUGGGGUCAGCGCAAGCGAAGCUCCUGAUCGAAGCCCCGGUAAACGGCGGCCGUAACUAUAACGGUCCUAAGGUAGCGAAAUUCCUUGUCGGGUAAGUUCCGACCUGCACGAAUGGCGUAAUGAUGGCCAGGCUGUCUCCACCCGAGACUCAGUGAAAUUGAACUCGCUGUGAAGAUGCAGUGUACCCGCGGCAAGACGGAAAGACCCCGUGAACCUUUACUAUAGCUUGACACUGAACAUUGAGCCUUGAUGUGUAG